rnacentral:rRNA from 1 species
AGUGAACGCUGGCGGUAGGCCUAACACAUGCAAGUCGAACGGCAGCACAGUAAGAGCUUGCUCUUACGGGUGGCGAGUGGCGGACGGGUGAGGAAUACAGCGGAAUCUACUUUUUCGUGGGGGAUAACGUAAGGAAACUUACGCUAAUACCGCAUACGACCUACGGGUGAAAGCAGGGGAUCUUCGGACCUUGCGCGAUUGAAUGAGCCGAUGUCGGAUUAGCUAGUUGGCGGGGUAAAGGCCCACCAAGGCGACGAUCCGUAGCUGGUCUGAGAGGAUGAUCAGCCACACUGGAACUGAGACACGGUCCAGACUCCUACGGGAGGCAGCAGUGGGGAAUAUUGGACAAUGGGCGCAAGCCUGAUCCAGCCAUACCGCGUGGGUGAAGAAGGCCUUCGGGUUGUAAAGCCCUUUUGUUGGGAAAGAAAAGCAGCAGGUUAAUACCCCGCUGUUCUGACGGUACCCAAAGAAUAAGCACCGGCUAACUUCGUG